GUGCUAGCUUCAGCAGCAUAUAUACUAAAAUUGGAACAAUACAGAGAUUAGCCUGGCCCCUGCUCAAGGAUGACAUGAAAAUUCAUGAAGCAUCCCAUGUCUUA
ensembl:snRNA U6 U6 spliceosomal RNA